UGGGGAAUAUUGCACAAUGGGCGCAAGCCUGAUGCAGCCAUGCCGCGUGUAUGAAGAAGGCCUUCGGGUUGUAAAGUACUUUCAGCGGGGAGGAAGGGAGUAAAGUUAAUACCUUUGCUCAUUGACGUUACCCGCAGAAGAAGCACCGGCUAACUCCGUGCCAGCAGCCGCGGUAAUACGGAGGGUGCAAGCGUUAAUCGGAAUUACUGGGCGUAAAGCGCACGCAGGCGGUUUGUUAAGUCAGAUGUGAAAUCCCCGGGCUCAACCUGGGAACUGCAUCUGAUACUGGCAAGCUUGAGUCUCGUAGAGGGGGGUAGAAUUCCAGGUGUAGCGGUGAAAUGAGUAGAGAUCUGGAGGAAUACCGGUGGCGAAGGCGGCCCCCUGGACGAAGACUGACGCUCAGGUGCGAAAGCGUGGGGAGCAAACAGG
rnacentral:rRNA from 1 species